UACGGAGGGUGCAAGCGUUGCUCGGAAUUAUUGGGCGUAAAGGGUAGGUAGGUGGUCUCAUUUGUCUGGGGUGAAAUCCUUGAGCUUAACUCAAGAAGUGCCUCAGAAACGGUGAGACUAGAGUUCUGGAGAGGGUCGUGGAAUUCCCGGUGUAGCGGUGAAAUGCGUAGAGAUCGGGAGGAACACCAGAGGCGAAGGCGAGUCUCUGGGCUGAUACCGACGCUGAGGCGCGAAAGCCAGGGGAGCAAACGGG
rnacentral:rRNA from 1 species